rnacentral:rRNA from 1 species
UCGGGUGUCAGCGGCAGACGGGUGAGUAACACGUGGGAACGUACCCUUCGGUUCGGAAUAACGCUGGGAAACUAGCGCUAAUACCGGAUACGCCCUUUUGGGGAAAGGUUUACUGCCGAAGGAUCGGCCCGCGUCUGAUUAGCUAGUUGGUGGGGUAACGGCCUACCAAGGCGACGAUCAGUAGCUGGUCUGAGAGGAUGAUCAGCCACACUGGGACUGAGACACGGCCCAGACUCCUACGGGAGGCAGCAGUGGGGAAUAUUGGACAAUGGGCGCAAGCCUGAUCCAGCCAUGCCGCGUGAGUGAUGAAGGCCUUAGGGUUGUAAAGCUCUUUUGUCCGGGACGAUAAUGACGGUACCGGAAGAAUAAGCCCCGGCUAACUUCGUGCCAGCAGCCGCGGUAAUACGAAGGGGGCUAGCGUUGCUCGGAAUCACUGGGCGUAAAGGGCGCGUAGGCGGCCAUUCAAGUCGGGGGUGAAAGCCUGUGGCUCAACCACAGAAUUGCCUUCGAUACUGUUUGGCUUGAGUAUGGUAGAGGUUGGUGGAACUGCGAGUGUAGAGGUGAAAUUCGUAGAU